GUUUAAUACAAAGCUUUCUUGCAAGCUUCUCUUCUUAGCUUCUCUUAGCUUUGUUGUGGCAAUAUUUCGGGGGAAAGGCUGACUUAACACAUCGCAGGGGCGGAUUGUGACUAAGGCCGCACGGAAGAUAGCUAGGGAGUUAUCUGGUCCGUGACACUAUGGUCUUAACCAGUAUACCGCCCCAGAAAAUCCAAAUACUGGGGACGCAUCAUAGCUCUCAUGUACUGGGGCACUGCAAUGGCCAGUCCAUCUACACGCAACCCAUACAAAAUCUGAACAUCCUCAACUGUGAUGGUGGCUUCUCCAGGGACUAAGGCCUCACGGAAGAUAGCUAGGGAUUAUCCGGUCCGUGACAUACUGCUCCAAUACCACCAAUUUGCUCAUAGGUUAUAACAAACACCCAAAACGACACGAGCCACCUCAACAAUAUAAAAAAUCCGCUUCUAUG
rnacentral:lncRNA from 1 species